GACGAACGCUGGCGGCGUGCCUAAUACAUGCAAGUAGAACGCUGAAGGAGGAGCUUGCUUCUCCGGAUGAGUUGCGAACGGGUGAGUAACGCGUAGGUAACCUGCCUGGUAGCGGGGGAUAACUAUUGGAAACGAUAGCUAAUACCGCAUAACAGUAGAUGUUGCAUGACAUUUGCUUAAAAGGUGCAAUUGCAUCACUACCAGAUGGACUUGCGUUGUAUUAGCUAGUUGGUGGGGUAACGGCUCACCAAGGCGACGAUACAUAGCCGACCUGAGAGGGUGAUCGGCCACACUGGGACUGAGACACGGCCCAGACUCCUACGGGAGGCAGCAGUAGGGAAUCUUCGGCAAUGGACGGAAGUCUGACCGAGCAACGCCGCGUGAGUGAAGAAGGUUUUCGGAUCGUAAAGCUCUGUUGUAAGAGAAGAACGAGUGUGAGAGUGGAAAGUCACACUGUGACGUAUCUACCAGAAAGGACG
rnacentral:rRNA from 1 species